rnacentral:tRNA from 1 species
AGGAUAAUAGUUAACUUUAACAUUUAACUUGCACUUAAAAAAUAUUGAAAAAUUCAAUUUAUCUUA